CCUCCAGUUCUGUCUACCAGUCUGACCUUCGAUGUGUCAUUGUGAGGGUUGGAAACAUUCCCUCCAUAGCAACUCCAAGUCCUCCUCCUGAAACAACUCGUCUUACGGUUCUGAAGCUGAAGAUCUCGACUACGCUGUCACUGAAAGACAACAAGGAUGAAAUCGAGAAAGCGAUUAAAGAUGAACUGAUCAGACGAGGGCUGCCUGCAGACAUAAAGGUCCGCCUGCUGAGCGACGGUUCAGUGCAGGUUAACGAAAAGGCUGCCCCCUAGUG